UGAGGAAUAUUGGUCAAUGGACGCAAGUCUGAACCAGCCAAGUAGCGUGCAGGAUGACGGCCCUAUGGGUUGUAAACUGCUUUUAUAUGGGGAUAAAGUGGGGAACGUGUUCCCUUUUGCAGGUACCAUAUGAAUAAGGACCGGCUAAUUCCGUGCCAGCAGCCGCGGUAAUACGGCAGGUUCGGGCGUUAUCCGGAUUUAUUGGGUUUAAAGGGAGCGUAGGCCGUUUGGUAAGCGUGUUGUGAAAUGUAGGAGCUCAACUUCUAGAUUGCAGCGCGAACUGUCAGACUUGAGUGCGCACAACGUAGGCGGAAUUCAUGGUGUAGCGGUGAAAUGCUUAGAUAUCAUGAAGAACUCCGAUUGCGAAGGCAGCUUACGGGAGCGCAACUGACGCUGAAGCUCGAAGGUGCGGGUAUCGAACAGG
rnacentral:rRNA from 1 species